GAAUUUUCCUGUUAGCUGCGUCCUUACUCUUUUUAAAGCUUUAAGGGCAGUCCUUGGCAUUAACUCAAACGCAUAAUCCAACAGACGUUCACCUGUGUGGCGUAUCAGCCUCUACGAACAAAAAAAUAGGAAAAGAGCGAGAAAUGUCCUAAAUAUAGCAAAACCAUCUAGUCACACACGGCCAGUUCAUCUGCAACAUAGUACUACCUCCCACCACUAGUCUAGGCUACACCCCCUCCAAUAUAAAGCCUAUUUUUUCCUCAUGUCCCUAUUAUUCCUCUCAUGCCCUUUUGCCAGAAUUCUCCCCCCUCCUCCUCCUCCCAAGGCCUAGGCCCGCGCCCAAGGCCCUCGGUGGGCCGGUCUAUAUAUAAGGCCGAAGUGGAUCGAAGCAGGACAUCAGUUGUGGAGUCAUACUUCGCGGGGAUAUAUAGGCCUUCCCUCCUCCGGCGUCAUUCUUCAGCAUGAAGUUUGUGGUAGUACUGUUGGCGCUCCUAGGGGCAGCGAGCUGCGGUACCCCUACACCAGGGGGGGAUCCCACGCCCGAUGACGUCACAGAGUACUCGUUCCUCUUGCUGUGGGAGGCUGCCUUUGCCAUGCCAAUCCUCUCUACAAUCAUCCUGACAAGUAGCCGUCGUUUCGGUGGCUACUUACAGACAAGGAAGUCCACUUCAUAGGUGUCCAGUCAAAAGGAUCAGUUAGACAAUGUAGAACUGGAGUCGUACCAUCUGACUUCAGUACAUCGAAUGUACCUUCAGCAGCUUCUGUGAAAAACGUACUUCUGCAGACCACCUUCCCUGUGCAGCUCAAGGCUAUAUCAUUGGACGUUUUAGUGGGUACUCAGCGCACUGACAUGUAAGCACCAGUGUCAGAAAUGAAGCAAUUAUGAAGACGUAGGAGCAUGUCGAGGUUCUUGCUGCAGUGAUAUGUGUAUUUUGAGGUCGACAAAUAAUGAUGAUGACUGGAAUGAUGACAGGUUAGCAGUGCUACAAAAUGUCCUACUCAUUCAGUAGCAGCUUGUGAGCGAGAGUGAUGAGAAAAGGAGGAUGCUCUCUGAUUCUAGUGCAGAGUUCUGUAAACUUUGGAAAUGACAAGAUUUUGAUAUAAAAUACC